rnacentral:rRNA from 1 species
CGACCGGCGCACGGGUGAGUAACGCGUAUACAAUUUGCCUUUACUGAAGAAUAGCCCAGAGAAAUUUGGAUAAUGCUUCAUAGUAUUAUUUGGUCACCUGGCCGAGUAAUUAAAGCUCCGGCGGUAAAAGAUGAGUAUGCGUCCUAUUAGCUAGAUGGUAAGGUAACGGCUUACCAUGGCGACGAUAGGUAGGGGUCCUGAGAGGGAGAUCCCCCACACUGGUACUGAGACGCGGACCCAG